UACGUAGGGUGCGAGCGUUAAUCGGAAUUACUGGGCGUAAAGCGUGCGCAGGCGGUUUGGUAAGACAGACGUGAAAUCCCCGGGCUUAACCUGGGAACUGCGUUUGUGACUGUCAGACUAGAGUGUAGCAGAGGGGGGUAGAAUUCCACGUGUAGCAGUGAAAUGCGUAGAUAUGUGGAGGAAUACCGAUGGCGAAGGCAGCCCCCUGGGCUAACACUGACGCUCAUGCACGAAAGCGUGGGGAGCAAACAGGAUUAGAUACCCUGGUAGUCCACGCCCUAAACGAUGUCAACUAGGUGUUGGGGAAGGAGACUUCUUUAGUACCGCAGCUAACGCGUGAAGUUGACCGCCUGGGGAGUACGGUCGCAAGAUUA
rnacentral:rRNA from 1 species